rnacentral:rRNA from 1 species
AGAGCGAACGCUGGCGGCAGGCCUAACACAUGCAAGUCGAGCGCCCCGCAAGGGGAGCGGCAGACGGGAGAGUAACACGUGGGAACGUACCCUUCAGUUCGGAACAACCCAGGGAAACUUGGGCUAAUACCGAAUACGUCCGUAAGGAGAAAGAUUUAUCGCUGAAGGAUCGGCCCGCGUCUGAUUAGCUUGUUGGUGAGGUAACGGCUCACCAAGGCGACGAUCAGUAGCUGGUCUGAGAGGAUGAUCAGCCUCACUGGGACUGAGACACGGCCCAGACUCCUACGGGAGGCAGCAGUGGGGAAUAUUGGACAAUGGGCGCAAGCCUGAUCCAGCCAUGCCGCGUGGGUGAUGAAGGCCCUAGGGUUGUAAAGCCCUUUCGGCGGGGAAGAUAAUGACGGUACCGCAGAAGAAGCCCGGCUAACUUCGUGCCAGCAGCCGC